UACGUAGGGUGCGAGCGUUGUCCGGAAUUAUUGGGCGUAAAGAGCUUGUAGGCGGUUUGUCGCGUCUGCUGUGAAAUUCCAGGGCUUAACCCUGGACUUGCAGUGGGUACGGGCAGACUAGAGUGUGGUAGGGGAGACUGGAAUUCCUGGUGUAGCGGUGGAAUGCGCAGAUAUCAGGAGGAACACCGAUGGCGAAGGCAGGUCUCUGGGCCAUUACUGACACUGAGAAGCGAAAGCAUGGGGAGCGAACAGG
rnacentral:rRNA from 1 species